GUUGAUAUGUCUGAGUGGUUAAGGAGAUAGACUUGAAAUCUGGUGGGCUACGCAUGCGUAGGUUUGAAGCCUGCUAUUGACG
rnacentral:tRNA from 1 species